rnacentral:rRNA from 1 species
AUGAAAGCAAUAGAUGAUGCCAUCCAUGACGGCGUCGACGUCUUAUCGCUGUCCAUAGUCAACCUGUUGGGGCACCUCCCUGCGUUUCAUGCGGUGGCAAAGGGUAUACCGGUGGUAUAUGCAGCUGUGAAUUUUGGACCGUAUGCCCAGAUGGUGGGUAACGUAGCUCUGUGGCUGCUUACGGUUGCAGCAUCAACGGUGGAUCGGUUGUUUCCUAUUACUAUCACUCUUGGAAAUGGCCAGACACUUGUGGGACAAUCCUUGUUUGCCGAUAUGGAAAGAGCGAAUCAGUUUCAGAAGAUCAAGCUCUAUAUGAAUGGCAUGUGUAACUUGACUCUUGCAAACAGUACAGAUGUGAAGGGGAAUAUUGUCCUUUGCUUCAGUAUAACCUCUGUUUUCCCGGUUGCUCAACUGUAUGGGUUAGCAACUGCAGUGAUCAAGAACGGAGGAGAGGGUUUUAUCUUCACGCAGCAAAAUUCGGACCUUCUUGUUGCCUGGCAGUUUCAUGCCAUGUCCAUCCCAUGUGUUUCUAUUGAUUUAGAGGUUGCCUACAAGAUAAUUCAGUAUUUCAGCAGUACCAGUCAGGAUCCGGUAGCAAAGGUUUCUUUAAGUCGAACAACAAUUGGAAGUGGAUUUCCUGCUCCAAAGAUUGCAGCUUUCUCAUCAAGGGGUCCAAGCUCCGUCUAUCCUGCAGUGCUCAAGCCUGACAUUGCUGCACCGGGGGUGAAUAUUUUAGCAGCAGCGCCACAGGUUGGUGUUUACAAGGAACUGGGGCUCUACUUCUUUGAUUCAGGGACAUCGAUGGCUUGCCCACAUGUAUCCGGCAUUAUAGCUGUGCUCAAGUCACUCCAUCCAGACUGGUCACCUGCUGCUUUCAAGUCAGCACUCAUGACAACUGCAUACAUUACAGACAACAAUUGUCUCCCAUUACUAGCUGAUGCAACCCCAAAUAAGAUUGCAGAUCCUUUUGAUUAUGGAGCUGGGUUUGUCAAUCCAACUCAGGCGAAUGAUCCUGGACUUAUAUACGAUAUUGAUGCUUCGGAUUACCAAAAGUUGUUCAGUUGCAUGCUUGGGUCAGAUACAAACAGUAGUUGUAUAGCAACUGAGAAAUCUUUGUUUGACCUGAAUCUCCCAUCAAUCGCCAUCCCCAAUCUCAAGUCAUCAGAAACGGUAUCAAGGACUGUCACCAAUGUGGGCCAAGCUGAUGCAGUGUAUAGAGCAUUUGUUGAGCCCCCUGCUGGAGUUGAUAUGCUGGUCAAACCCAUGGUUUUGGUGUUUGGCAAGGAUACAACCUCACAGUCUUUCAAGGUGAGCUUCAAGGCAAGACGAAAGAUCCAAGGCGAUUACUCAUUUGGUAAUUUGGUGUGGCACGAUGGAGGCAGCCACUGGGUCCGAAUCCCGAUAGCGGUCCGUGUUAUCAUUGAAGAUCUCUAUUCAACUGUCUCCUAA